UAAUAUGGAGGGUGCAAGCGUUACUCGGAAUCACUGGGCGUAAAGCGCGCGCAGGCGGCUUGAUAAGUUGGAUGUGAAAGCCUACGGCUCAACCGUAGAACUGCAUCCAAAACUGUCAAGCUAGAGUCUGGGAGGGGAAGAUGGAAUUAGUUGUGUAGGGGUAAAAUCCGUAGAGAUAACUAGGAAUACCAAAAGCGAAGGCGAUCUUCUGGAACAGUACUGACGCUGAGGCGCGAAAGCGUGGGGAGCAAACAGGAUUAGAUACCCUGGUAGUCCACGCCCUAAACGAUGAAUGUUAGUCGUCGGAGGCCUAGUGUCUUCGGUGAUGCAGCUAACGCAUUAAACAUUCCGCCUGGGGAGUACGGUCGCAAGAUUA
rnacentral:rRNA from 1 species